rnacentral:rRNA from 1 species
AUUGAACGCUGGCGGCAUGCUUUACACAUGCAAGUCGAACGGUAACAGGCCUUCGGGUGCUGACGAGUGGCGAACGGGUGAGUAAUGCAUCGGAACGUGCCCAGAGGUGGGGGAUAACGCAGCGAAAGCUGUGCUAAUACCGCAUGUGAUCUGAGGAUGAAAGCGGGGGACCAAGCAGCAAUGUUUGGCCUCGCGCCUCUGGAGCGGCCGAUGUCAGAUUAGGUAGUUGGUGGGGUAAAGGCCUACCAAGCCGACGAUCUGUAGCUGGUCUGAGAGGACGACCAGCCACACUGGGACUGAGACACGGCCCAGACUCCUACGGGAGGCAGCAGUGGGGAAUUUUGGACAAUGGGCGGAAGCCUGAUCCAGCAAUGCCGCGUGCGGGAAGAAGGCCUUCGGGUUGUAAACCGCUUUUGUACGGAACGAAAAGGCUCUGGCUAAUACCUGGGGCUGAUGACGGUACCGGAAGAAUAAGCACCGGCUAACUACGUG